UGGGUUCCGCUUGACUCUGCAUUCUCCUACUUCCCUGCCUGCUUACUCUCUGCCAUCAUAGUUUUUUGCUUCAACCUUCAAAUGUAGCCAUUCUUUUUCUAAAGCGGUACUUAUUCUCUUUAUUAGUUAAAAUUAUUAAUUUUAUGCACUUACUGUUCUAGCUCCAAUUUUGCAUUUCCAGUUCCCUGCUGGGAAUAAAUUAAAUUGGCAGAAGCUCAGUCUAAGUGCCUGCAACAGAAUUUGUCCCAUAUCCAUACAACUUGCUCCUCCACAACAAAUGGGAGAAUCAUCCUCUUACCUCCAGCACCUGCCUCAAACAAAGUUUCUGAUCCAUCUACCACGUAACUUUGACGCUGACCAAGAAUUACAGCUUCAAAGAAAUCAUUCGAGGAUCAUUAAUAUCUUGGUCAUGAAUAACUUUUAUGUGAAAGGCUCUGCAGCUAAUCUCAAGUGCAGUGAACUCUGUUUCAUUACUGUAUUUCCAAAUUUAGAGUUAUUUGGGUUGUAUAUAGGUCAGAUAAUUUACUUUUUUGUUUUCAACCUA
rnacentral:lncRNA from 1 species